CUCGCUUUUCGGCUUUUUGGCUAAGAUCAAAGUGUAGUAUCUGUUCUUAUCAGCUUAAUCUCUAAUACGGUCUCCAUAGGGGACCCAGAAGAGACCUGCA
rnacentral:snRNA from 1 species